rnacentral:ncRNA from 1 species
GAUCAAGUUUGAUAAUAGCUUAGGAAAAAGUAAGAUGGUGUUAUCUAAGAUUGAAUCACGGAGUAGGCAAUAUUUUUUUACCUCGGCACUCUGACGUUCGUACAUUCUUUGUUCCAGAAUAAUCGGCUAGACUUAGUGAACUUGUACUUUAAAUGAGGUUGUCUGAUUAUUUGUGCUGGGUGUUUUUUAGGUUCCCGGUGAAAUGAGGACUUAAUCCAGAUUUUUCAUUUUCAGAAUUAAGAUUUGUUAAACAAAGUGGAUUAGUACCCACGUAGUCAAAAUUUAAAAGAGCUGAAGUAAAGUUGUAUUUAAACGGAAAGAAUAUUGGCAGGCCCUUGAAUUAUCUUUGGAGGUUGAGUAGUAAUUGAGAGCCCUCAUUUUCAACCUGGGCUUUAGGUGCAUGUAUGAUCGUUUGUUUGAUUACUAAAGAUUGUAACUUAGUUUUUUUGCUGUUAAAACAGAUAAAUACCUGGUAUAUGCUCAGGUAUUAAUUUGACCUACAGUAUAUUAUUUUGUGGAUCUAGAUUAGAGAUAUUUUAGUGAAAGUGUAAAAGACAGUAAAAAUUUUUUAAUGUAAUUUUGAAGAUUAUCCGAGGGCGGUACAAAUCAUCCAUCAAUUGCCCAAAGGGGAGUAAGUUGUAGUAUAGUAGGUUUAGGGGAACCUGUGCCUAAGGUUUGAAAA